GAUCCCCUCUGAGCGGACCAUAGCUGUCUCCCCUUCCAGGCCCACGGCUCCAGGAGAUCUGUAUAAGACAAUACACUGGAACCCUGAUAACAUGAAAUGGCACGAAAACUUUAACUAUACAAGAGAUGGUCGUCUGCCACGAUAUCACAUGGAUGAACAAGGUUUAUACCGUGGUGUAUGGGCGAUAUUCUGAAGCUUUGGAGCUGCAUUCUCUCAUGCUGAUGUAUGCAUGAAGCCAGUGCUACACAGACAUGACAGAAGAAACCCAGAAAAGUGCCAAAUGUACAACAAUAGAGCUUUUGUAUAUAUACAUGCCUUUAGGUGGGAAACGUAUGCAUAUAGUUCUCACAGAGCACGUCACAACAUCUGACGGACACCUUCUUGACAUUACUAAAAACUCCUCAAAGGAAAGUUUAAUGUGGCAGGUAACCCACCGUAAGAUCACAUUAGACAUUAGAGAGGGAACGGGCAGCUCCAUUGAUCUCCACCUUCGUCUCUUUAAACUGAGUGAAUACCUUGAUAGUGGCGUAAGGUCAUGGGGUACGGAAAUAAAGCUUCACUUUCUCGCAAAUAUUCAGUCUUUGCUUUGGACGUAAAUAUACGGACGCUGAAAACAAUUGCCCGGGGAUUAGUCGUUUCGUGCCGUAUCAGUUUUGUACAGUUAAAUAGCACGGACCAGAAGUACUACACACAGGAUACCAAACAGGAUGGCUUAGUAAAUCAAUUACAGCUUUUUAAUUGUAGAUUUGGAAGGCCGUAAAGUACAUUAAACUUUGCAUAAAGCAUUUGAUUUUCUUAAAUAGGAUAAUUGUUAAAUAAGACCGACAAAUAUCCAGUAUUAUUUUUGUAAUGCUAAUAUCUUAUAAUGCACAUACCGCCUUUAGGCCUCAACUGAUCUCAUGGUUGAUAUUUGUUGUCAGAAAGCUUAUGUUCAUGUCCUGAUAAAAUUUAUAAUU